AGCGAACGCUGGCGGCAGGCCUAACACAUGCAAGUCGAACGAACCUUUCGGGGUUAGUGGCGGACGGGUGAGUAACACGUGGGAACGUGCCUUUAGGUUCGGAAUAACUCAGGGAAACUUGUGCUAAUACCGAAUGUGCCCUUCGGGGGAAAGAUUAAUCGCCUUUAGAGCGGCCCGCGUCUGAUUAGCUAGUUGGUUGAGGUAAUGGCUCACCAAGGCGACGAUCAGUAGCUGGUCUGAGAGGAUGCUCAGCCACAUUGGGACUGAGACACGGCCCCAACUCCUACGGGAGGCAGCAGUGGGGAAUCUUGCGCAAUGGGCGAAAGCCUGACGCAGCCAUGCCGCGUGAAUGAUGAAGGUCUUAGGAUUGUAAAAUUCUUUCACCGGGGACGAUAAUGACGGUACCCGGAGAAGAAGCCCCGGCUAACUUCGUG
rnacentral:rRNA from 1 species